CCUCGGAAACAGGCGUUU
rnacentral:snRNA from 1 species